rnacentral:rRNA from 1 species
UACGUAGGGUGCGAGCGUUGUCCGGAAUUAUUGGGCGUAAAGGGCUCGUAGGCGGUCUGUCGCGUCGGUAGUGAAAACUCAGGGCUUAACCCUGAGCCUGCUUCCGAUACGGGCAGACUAGAGGUAUGCAGGGGGAAUGGAAUUCCUGGUGUAGCGGUGAAAUGCGCAGAUAUCAGGAGGAACACCGGUGGCGAAGGCGGUUCUCUGGGCAUUACCUGACGCUGAGGAGCGAAAGUGUGGGGAGCGAACAGG